UCUAGAACUUUCUCCAGUUGUCGGUAGGUCCGCUCUAGAACUUUCUCCAGUUGUCGGUAGGUCUACUCUAGAACUUUCUCCAGCUGUCGGUAGGUCCGCUCUAGAACUUUCUCCAGUUGUCGGUAGGUCUACUCUAGAACUUUCUCCAGCUGUCGGUAGGUCCGCUCUAGAACUUUCUCCAGCUGUUGGUAGGUCCGCUCUAGAACUUUCUCCAGUUGUCGGUAGGUCCGCUCUAGAACUUUCUCCAGCUGUCGGUAGGUCUACUCUAGAACUUUCUCCAGCUGUCGGUAGGUCCGCUCUAGAACUUUCUCCAGCUGUUGGUAGGUCCGCUCUAGAACUUUCUCCAGCUGUCGGUAGGUCUACUCUAGAACUUUCUCCAGCUGUCGGUAGGUCCGCUCUUGAACUUUCUCCAGUUGUCGGUAGGUCUACUCUAGAACUUUCUCCAGGAGACGUUCUCCUCUAUGGACUUCAAGGACCUGGAACUCUGCAAAUAUUCCCAGUAUGAAGGUAGAACUCUGAUCAUUGAUAAAGUUACUGGACAUGAAGAACCAGAUGUUCUGAGGAGGUUUUGGGGGAACUUUUAGCAGAUUUAUUUCUCUUUCAACCUUCAGCUGAACAAAUUACCUCAAUGAUGAAAUAUGUUAGCGUUUAGUAAAUGUCGUUGAUGUUGAAGUUUAGAUCUUCAUUAUCCAGUUUUCAACCUUGAGAUCCUGGCUGACGCUCACUGGGAUGUUUGAUGCUCUUGUUCCUUAAGGCAGUGUUUAUCUUCAUCUGCUGUUGGUUUAUUUUUAACCUGAUGUGUCGCUGUGACUGACAGCAGCAUCCUCAUGUCACCUCCAGUCUUUUCUCUUCACAUCUCCUGAGUUCUCCCUCAGUUUUCUGCCUUCAGCAUCACAUUCUUCCUGUUUAUUCUCUUAUUCUUAAACUUGUUUUCCUCUAAAUCUGCAUUAGCUUCCUGAUUCUUUAGGGUUAAACUGAGCCUUUUGGUUUUUAGCUGUAAUCAACAGAACAUACAUCUCUGUGGUAAUCAGACCUACAGUGUUGUUGCUCUCUUUGGUUUCCUCGUCUUGUUUCGUAUCUUUGCAAAGCUGUGAUUGAAGCAUCCUUUUCAUUUAAUCACUGAAGAGUAAACACACGGUCAUCUGGUAUUCAUGUGAAAGUGCUGUCGGCCUCCACAAGGAUAAUCUUUAAAUGAAAAUGAAAAUAUGUCCACGUCCUUGUUCCCCUCUGACGGUCGUCCACAGAACCAGGACCUCCACCUGAAGGUCUUCCCUUUGUUUAGGUCCAUCAAUGUGAACGGUUCUCCAAGAUUAAUAAAUUUAAUUUGGCUUUUUUCCACAAGAACUUAAAAAAAUAAUUCAGAGCAAAAAAAAAAAAAUGUCAGUUCAUUAACAUAUUCUCAGUUGGAUGAUGCUGCCUCCACCAUGCUUCACAGUGGGGAUGGUGUGUUUGGGAUGAUCUUCAGUGUUUGGUGUCCAUCAAACAUAUCAUCUAGUCUGAUGGUCAUAAAGCUCCAUCCUGGUCUCCUCAGACCAAAGAACCUUCUUCCAGGUGUCUUCAGAGUCUCCACGUCUUCCGGUGAACUCUCGUCCACAUUUAAUUGGAGCUUUUUCCAUCACAGUCUUUCUCUUUGUCUCCAUGAAGCUUUGACUGGUGAAGAACAGACAACAGUUGUUGGAUGAACAGUCUGAAGCUGGAACUCCUUCAGAGGAGUCAUAGGAGUCUUGGUGGCCUCCCUCUCUAGUCUCUCAGGUCUUGAGGACGUCCUGCUCUAGUCAGAUCCAUUCAUGUUCCAUCUUCCUUCCAUUUCUUAAUGAUGGAUUUAACUGGACUUCAGGAGAUCUUCAGGAACUCAGAAAUGUUCUUGUAUCGUCCUGACUGAUGUUUUUAGACAACUUUUUCUCAGAGUUUCUUGGAGUUUUCUUUAGUCUUCAUGGUGUAGUUCUAUCCAGGAGUUCUGAUCCAGCAGAGACUGGACCUCCCAGAUCCAGGAGUCUUUAUCCUACAAUCACUGACCUCAGAUCAUCAUCUACUUCUUGCUGACUUCUAGAACCAAAUGGCUGCACCUGAGUUCAAUUAGAGUCCCUUUAAAGUCAUUUGAAGGCAUUUUGAUUGAAGCAUCUCUGAGAACCUGCAGUUCUUCUGUGGGUUCAGGUUGUGUUCAUACAGAGUCCUAAUUUAAAUAAAAAGCUACAUUUCCAGUCAAACCUUUGAAGUAUUGAGUCCUACCUCUGGCUGAACAGUAUUUCAAAUGCAGGGAAAAAGAAAAUCUAAAGUGCUUCAGCUGGAAACGAGGUUGGAAAAGGUUCAGUUCAAAGAGGAGGAGGGUUGUGUUUAGUGUGAGACAUGGAGGACUCUUCAUACAUGAUAGAUGUAAACCAGCAUGAAUAGAAAUUAAACAUCAAUCAGUCUGUAUAUUCAGACCUCAGAGAGACUCUGAAUGAUGUUCAGCUUCUCCUCUGGUGUAAAUCACUCUCCAAACCAGCUCUAUGGUUGUCACACACUGAAAAAACGCAUAGAAGCACAUUUAAAGUAACAUCUGACAUCGUUUUACCUGCGUAGUCCAGCUGGAACCGAAAGAACCGUCUCUGAACUGUGAGACCUUUACUUCAAUCAGAGAAAACAUCAAAUCUAAGCUUUAAAUUGACAUUUCAUCAAAGAGUCUUCAUCUCUGAUCACUGCUAGUGAAGCUGAUCACAUCUUUAGGGGUUUAUGAGGUAUUCUCUGUAUUUAAAUGUUUUUUUCUAAAAGUCUUUUGAUUGAAUUUGAACUAAUUAAUAAUUCCUUCUGAAG